ACAGAGGGUGCAAGCGUUAAUCGGAAUUACUGGGCGUAAAGCGCGCGUAGGCGGUUUGAUCAGUCGGGUGUGAAAUCCCUGGGCUUAACCUAGGAAUUGCAUUCGAUACUGUCUGACUAGAGUAUGGUAGAGGGAAGUGGAAUUUCCGGUGUAGCGGUGAAAUGCGUAGAUAUCGGAAAGAACACCAGUGGCGAAGGCGACUUCCUGGACCAAUACUGACGCUGAGGUGCGAAAGCGUGGGGAGCAAACAGG
rnacentral:rRNA from 1 species